GGCCUUGUAGCUCAGCGGAUUUAGAGCGCUCGUUUCCGAUGCGAGAAGUCCCAGGUUCGAACCCUGGCUGGGUCA
rnacentral:tRNA from 2 species